rnacentral:rRNA from 1 species
AUUGAACGCUGGCGGCAUGCCUUACACAUGCAAGUCGAACGGCAGCACGGGGGCAACCCUGGUGGCGAGUGGCGAACGGGUGAGUAACACAUCGGAACGUGCCCAGUAGUGGGGGAUAGCUCGGCGAAAGCCGGAUUAAUACCGCAUACGACCUACGGGUGAAAGCGGGGAUCGCAAGACCUCGCGCUAUCGGAGCGGCCGAUGUCAGAUUAGGUUGUUGGUGGGGAAAGGCCUACCAAGCCGACGAUCUGUAGCUGGUCUGAGAGGACGACCAGCCACACUGGGACUGAGACACGGCCCAGACUCCUACGGGAGGCAGCAGUGGGGUAAUUUUGGACAAUGGGCGCAAGCCUGAUCCAGCCAUGCCGCGU